rnacentral:rRNA from 1 species
UACAGAGGUCCCAAGCGUUGUUCGGAUUCACUGGGCGUAAAGGGUGCGUAGGCGGUCGGGUAAGUCUGAUGUGAAAUCCCCGAGCUCAACUUGGGAAUUGCAGUGGAUACUGGCAAGCUGGAGUACGGUAGAGGAAGGUGGAAUUCCCGGUGUAGCAGUGAAAUGCGUAGAGAUCGGGAGGAACACCAGUGGCGAAGGCGGCCUUCUGGACCAGUACUGACGCUCAUGCACGAAAGCGUGGGGAGCAAACAGG